rnacentral:rRNA from 1 species
UACGUAGGGUGCAAGCGUUGUCCGGAUUUAUUGGGCGUAAAGAGCUCGUAGGCGGUUUGUCGCGUCGGAUGUGAAAACCCAGGGCUCAACCCUGGGCCUGCAUUCGAUACGGGCAGACUAGAGUAUGGCAGGGGAGACUGGAAUUCCUGGUGUAGCGGUGAAAUGCGCAGAUAUCAGGAGGAACACCGGUGGCGAAGGCGGGUCUCUGGGCCAAAACUGACGCU